GAAAUGGCCAGCUGAAAAGAGCACGUCUUAUACCAAAUGAUAAGGAGAUAAAAUGUCGAGAGACACAAAUUUUAUACCACUGGUCUGUCUGCACAACACAAAAUGAAACUAACUUUGUGUUUAGGAUUAAUUGCAUGCAUAAUUGGAUGCAUUACAUGCUGUAAUGUGGCAAGUGAAUGUACUGUUACAUGUUCUGCUGGACAACACGUGGCUUGCAUCAAUCAUAAAUGUGAAUGUCAUGGAGAUCACGAACUAGACUGUACUGAUAAAUCACAAUGUGGAAAUCUGAACUGUGAUAAAUAUCAUUCAGCCCACUGUGUCGACGCACAUUGCACAUGUCAAUUUGAUUGGCAUCAUGGUCAUGAUUAAAUGAAUUAACCAGAUGACGCAACUUGUUGUUUGAAAACAUAAAUAUAAAAUAUUUUAAGAAA